rnacentral:sRNA from 1 species
AGCAGCCGCGGUAAUUCCAGCUCCAAUAGCGUAUAUUAAAGUUGUUGCAGUUAAAAGCUCGUAGUUGAAUUUCGGGGUUAGUAGAUUGGUCUAUGCCUCUGGUAUGUACUGGUCUUACUGAUUCCUCCUUCCUGAUGAACCGUAAUGCCAUUUAUUUGGUGUUGCGGGGUAAUCUGGACUGUUACUUUGAAAAAUUAGAGUGUUUAAAGCAAGCUAACGCUUGAAUACAUUAGCAUGGAAUAAUGAAAUAGGACGUUCGAUCCUAUUUGUUGGUUUCUAGGAUUGACGUAAUGAUUAAUAGGGAUAGUUGGGGGCAUUAGUAUUCAAUUGUCAGAGGUGAAAUUCUUGGAUUUAUUGAAGACUAACUACUGCGAAAGCAUUUGCCAAGGAUGUUUUCAUUAAUCAAGAACGAAAGUUAGGGGAUCGAAGACGAUCAGAUACCGUCGUAGUCUUAACCAUAAACUAUGC